UGCUUUAAUUUGUUUUGCCAGCAUUGGCUUCACUUGCCAAGUAGCUACCAUCUGCCCAUCUUCAUUAAUCUCCAAAUUAGCAUGCAAUGCCCUUAACUCAUGCACCAUGGACAAUGGAGAAAACCUUAAACCAGCCAUAGUCUUGCGACUUAAAGCAUCAGCUACAACAUUUGCCUUUCCAGGCUGAUAGUCUAUCAAGCAAUCAUAAUCUUUUAUCAGCUCUAACCAUCUCCUCUGCCUCAAA
rnacentral:misc_RNA from 1 species